GUCUUCGGACAGCAUUGGCUCUUUGGCUUUGAAACGGAGAUGAGCACUGCCCCCUAGAGUCGGGAACGACUAGCACAUAUGUGCACGGGGAACUUUUACCCUUACCUUUUUACCUAUCAAGGACCUGAGAUAGGCACAACAGUGUGAAAUCACCCCUCCUAGCUGUUUAGCUGGCGUUGACCUACAUACACAUUGAGUUCUUCCCAAGAUUCUAGGAUGUUGUAAAGUAGCAACAUGUUAUAUGUGUGAAUCCAAGCAGUGUGGCCUUUUUAAACAUAUGACACCAUCUUUGUUGACCCAGUGAAAAGGCUGACGCCUGUACAUAUCACCAAAGAUGAGGUGUUAAGAUGACAGAAGAUGUUCUGAAUUCUAUCCUGGGAGGCAGCUGUCUUUCUCCAAUCUUAUUUCAAAUUCUACUGAUGAGUAGCAGCACAGCGUAUAGUCUGGUCUAUCCACAGCAUUUGUCCUCUCUGUAAUAUAAUAGUGUUUUCAAAAGGGAAUUAUAUUUGUUCUUUCAUAAUGACAUAUAUUUUCCAUUGAAUUAUAUGUUUCCUGUGUAAAGAAAAAACAAAACCCAGAUUUUGAAUUUAAAUUACAAUUUUCUUGCAGUUAUGCAAACAUAUGGAUCUUCACAUACUUGUUAAUCAUUUAAAUAAACUUAUUGUGUCAUA